rnacentral:rRNA from 1 species
GAUGAACGCUAGCGGCAGGCUCAAUACAUGCAAGUCGAGGGGCAACAGGGGGUAGCAAUACCUGCUGGCGACCGGCAAACGGGUGCGGAACACGUACAGAACCUUCCUUUAAGGCGGGGGAUAGCCCAUAGAAAUGUGGAUUAAUACCCCAUAGUAAUAUUGGUUGGCAUCAACUGGUAUUUAAAGAUUUAUCACUUAAAGAUGGCUGUGCGGCUGAUUAGGUAGUUGGUCGGGGAACGGCCCACCAAGCCAACGAUCAGUAACUGGUGUGAGAGCACGACCAGUCAC